ensembl:lncRNA
AAAGUGUUCUGUGACUGCUGUGGGAAGAGGUAUGGAAGCUUCACAAGGGCCAAAGCUUUUUGCUGGAAUAUUCUGAGGGAAGACAACUUCAUUGAGAACUCGUUGAUCAGUCAGGAAACUCAGGCAAUGCUCUGCUAGUAAUGCUCUCCAAAGAACAAAGGCAACACUGCAUCUCUAGAAUUGAUAGAAUUAACAUGAUGUACUUUCAAUUUCGUAAAUCCUUCUUAGUUUGAUUCAGAUCUUGAGCAAUUCACAGUAAUUCUAAUGCCAUUUCUUCCACUUUGGUUUUUGAUUACUCUUGAUUUCCAGCGGUGAGCAUUGUACCUGAGUUGCAGAGUGGUACUACAAAGGAAUAUUGUUAGCUAAGCCAAAUAAAGGAUGGAUUAGCCAAAGCAAAAUGGUUUUGAAAAUCUCAUGAGGCUAUUUGACAGCAUGUUCAAAAGCAAAAUGUCAUUUGUAUUAUAACACAUCCUGUCUUCAUUUGCUCUACUGAUUUGGUUGCAGGAGCAAAUGUACCUCAUUUGCAGUUAAGAAGGAUUGCAUAUACAGGCAACAUCUGCAAAAGUGAAAUGUGGAACUUUGUUUCAGUUGAAGCUGGUACUAGCAAACAUCAACCAUGUCCGAUCACUUAAUUUAAAUCUCUUAAUUGUCUACUAGAUUAACUGACCUAAUAGAGAUUCUGCACGAAUAAUACACAAUAAGAAUUAAAAAUACGUUAUUCUGUAUUCUUCUGCUUUGUUUGUUUAGGAGACUUCAUAGAUGAAAUUCCCCUGAUAGAGACUGUUAGUUGAAGAGGUACUUUUUCAAAAUUGUUAAUGGAGAUACAAACCUUUCUUUUCAAUAAUAACUGCCAUAUUCUUACAAAGUAGAAGAGUAGUGUUAUUUUCCUUUUAUUGGUAGAAGAAGAGGAAUUAACUUGGUGAAGGCUGUGGUAACUCACUGUUAGGUUGGUGAAUGAAGCUAAGUUUUGUAAACUGAAGUCUGCCUUCAGUUUGCUUGCCUUCUUGGUACUGUGAUUGUUCAGAGAGAAAGUUCAAAAGAAAACAGACUGAGAGGUGUACAAACAGCAUACAUUUUUCAUGGAUAUUUUUCUUCUACUCCUGCAGCUAUGAACCAGCACUGAAGAAAGUACUUGUACAAUGCAGCAAUUCUUCUAUUCUUCAGGUUUUAACAAUUGUUCUUCUUUUACCUAUUUCUUUUAAUGUAAGAGUUUAAUCUUUCAGGAUUCAGAUUUUUUCCUGGUGUGUUUUGUCUUCGCUUUUUUGUUACUGUCAGUUAUGUUGCAUUCUUGUCUUUUUUGUUUGUUUUUUUGUUUGUUUCCUAUUAGACCAAUUUGAGACAG